UGGGGAAUAUUGCGCAAUGGGCGAAAGCCUGACGCAGCAACGCCGCGUGUGGGAUGACAGCUUUCGGGUUGUAAACCACUUUCAGGGAUGACGAAAAUGACGGUAAUCCCAGAAGAAGCUCCGGCCAACUACGUGCCAGCAGCCGCGGUAACACGUAGGGAGCAAGCGUUGUCCGGAUUUAUUGGGCGUAAAGAGCUCGUAGGCGGUUUCGUAAGUCGGAUGUGAAAACUCAGGGCUCAACCCGGAACGGUCAGAUGAUACUGCUUUGCUAGAGUGCAGAAGGGGCAAUCGGAAUUCUUGGUGUAGCGGUGAAAUGCGUAGAUAUCAAGAGGAACACCUGAGGUGAAGACGGGUUGCUGGGCUGACACUGACGCUGAGGCGCGAAAGCCAGGGGAGCAAACGGGAUUAGAUACCCGAGUAGUCCCUGAGCGGGCUGGCAAGGCGCAU
rnacentral:rRNA from 1 species